CCCCACCCCAGGGCAGUAUUUAAAAGAUGUGUAGAUGUGCCACUUGGGGAUGUGGUUCAGCGGUGGUCUUAGCAGUGUUGGAUUAAUGACUGGACUUAAUGAUCUUAAA